ACCCGCCUGUCUCACUGCCUUGCUUGCUUUAUUAGGGACCCCCCUUCCCUGCGUACCUGGCAUCGCCACGCUGGCAUACUCCUCAUCCGAGCUGGCGCGGGCUCCAAUACCUCCUCCUCCUCCCUCUUCCAGGCUGACGAAGAAGACGAAGACGACGAUGGCCGUGUGCGUGGUGUCUGAACGAAUCCCUAAUUCACGACCUUCGCUGCGAGGCUUCAUAGCGACGACGCAAUGUUACGCAACACAUGUAUGGAGAGUAGGAGAUUGAGGAGAGAGUGAAAGCGUGAGUGAGUGAGGUAGAGAGGGAGAGAGGGAGGGAGAGGUGGGGGGAAAAUAAAGGAAGAAAGGGGCACUGGCAGUGUCACAUCUGCAGGGCUUUACUGUGUCCUCAAUAAUAGCCUAUCACUCUCAACACUCUUGAGGCUUCGUGUACUCCACAACGCGGAAAAGCUUCAUGAACAAUCUUGUCGAAGUUUGCAUCAUUGUGUACAGUCAAAGAAAGAAUGUUUUGACCGUUACUGCCGACUGGGAUCUGCUGACCAUUGGAUGAAUGCCCAACAUGGUGUGCGAAGAGAUACGCCAGCUGGUCCGUGUGUGGAGAAAGCCGAGACGAGGUUGUAGUGAGCAGAUAAGUAUCGUAGUGCCAAAUACUCUGCUAAAGUGUGCCAAGAGAACCGGCAUUGGCUGAUGCUACACCUGUAGACCUACACUCUUUAUGUUUGAUCCCAUCACCAAUUGCUUCACAGGCCACAUGUGGGAUGCACUUUCGUACUUAAAUAUUUUCGCACAUGUUAUCAUCCAGAUCACAUCAACCACAAUCAGCACUCAGAAUCCGGGGAUGCAACUGCUGGAGCAUGUGUCGUCUGGUAUUGUCGUCAAAUCGAGGCGGGGAGUGAACAUAAAGAUUGCACGAUGUGCACAUUGUCGGAGAACAGUUCGUGCCAAAAAUGCUAGCUAUACAAUGUUCUGAGUUGUGCUCUCUCAACACCAGAAUACAGAGUGUAACUCAGAGGAUUCAAGAGGACAAUCAUCCCAGAAGCAAUACAAAAGAUCAAUGUCAUUUUGACGAAUGAGUGGCACUUAGUAUUUACAUUUAUGAAAGAACUGGCCGGGGAGAUAUUGCUCCACGAAUGGCCGGAUUACAAUCCCCUCAGCAGGCCAGGUUCUUUUUCUUUGGUUCUUUUUGUCCUUUUUAUGCGAUUGCGAAGAAGCAAAGAUUUUGCAUGCAUCGUCUCCCUCUGGAUCAACCAUCGCUCUCUGUGGUUCCAACAAAAUUGACCAACUCGUGGCCCAACACCUCGUUGUCUCCUGCGCAUCGUCUCCAGAACCUGGACUUGGCGUAAUCACACGGCAGUGUUGAGCAGAUUCUCGGCAAUCAGCACCCGUGGUGGCUGGCAUCUGGGAAAUUUUACGAUUGAAUGGUAGUCGAGGCUAGCCGAUGCUCUCACGGAAAGAUGACCUGCGAUCUGUUGCUGUUGUGCAAUGGAUUCGGACCGGUGGGUACCAUACGUUCAGACUGAAAGUGAGUGGAGUGCUUUUGCGGGAGUCGGUAAUUGGCAAGGAUUUCUCGUGUUCGCAAUCUCUCUUGGUCCACUGGCGGACUCACCGUCGGCUUCCCGGGUUUCCUUCUCGCGCACUUGAGUUGCGAAUCACAAACCAGGCGAUUACCUUGUUCGACAAGUCUACGAAAACGACCUCGCCGACCAACCAGAACAUUCCAGCUUUGCACCACAUCCGAGCGCCCCGCUGAGGCCUGCAUGAAAACGUUCAAGAGAUUGUUACGACAUGUCCGCGUUGCAGCUACUUGACAAUUCUCCUGGGGUGAUUCAUGUCAGUGUAGAGAAAUAAUCAGGAAAAAAGCAGGGUGAGAGCAAGUGCAGCAGCAAAUCGAGUGCGAAAAUUGGAAAUUGGCCUAGCGUGGUCAUGGUCAAAGAUCUCACACGAAGCGAAUUCGAAUUUUCAAUUGCAGAUUUCGAGAUUUUUAAGUCCCGAACAUCCAUGUCAUGAGGUCCUGAUUCGGAAGCAACCACCCAACAAACACAACGAUCAGCUCACAAGAAGUUUGAUGCUGUACGUCUUCCCUCUCUUCAUUCCAGAUUAAACUGCAGUCACUCACUCCCCAACCAAACCAUUGCUCGCAACAUUGCCUUACAGAACUAGGAAGGAGUUGAACAAUCCGAGGUCGAUAUGACCUAACUCUGUACAAAUCUUGAGAGGUUGGAGACCUAAAUCAUCGCGACAUUUACAAUGACUCGCACCGCUUCAAGAAUAAAGGAGCCAGUCAAGCCCACAGCAAUCCUUUCUUUGAUGCAAAAGCGAUUGUACCCGAACCACAAAUUGACACACGGGAGAGCAGAGCGGAAGGGGCAAGAGCUUGUUGCCAGGUGACGCAAACAUACCUGCUGGGGGUUGGAAGAGAGGUUGGCUAGGGACAAUCAGUACUGCUAGAGCUAGAGCUAUCAAGAGCAUCAUGACGAAGCUCCCGCAGAUCGCCAUCGCAGUGCUGCUCCUCUCUCGUUCCACACAACGUCGCCCUCCAAGUAGCGGAGGGAAAAAAAAGAAAAAAAAAAGAAAAAGAUAAAGAGAGAAAUCAACAUAAGUCGAGAUAAUCCCGCGAAAGCUCAAGUGCCUUAACUCGACAUCUGCCUUGAGAUUCCUGUUUUCCAGAUUUCAUUUCUAAACUCGAGAAGAGAAUUAACGACAGAUGGGAGAUAUAGAGAUAGUAUGUGUGCGAGGAAGGGGAGAUUGGUUAGGCAGGUCAAAGAAAAACUCUGGUACGAGGUAUGUCCAGAGAUGAGGAUCCAGAUUCACACCACAAUGAGGAGAUCCAGCCCAGAGACAGUGGCAAAAACUUCAUCUUAUAGGCUACGGGGACGGCUUUCUCAAUGUAACGCUACUUAUACAUGCUCCCCAACUCGGCAUCAUCAACGUCUCAGGACUGGCAAUAACCUCACAAAUAUGGGUCGCACGCGGGCAAGUUCUGCGGUUUCCUAGAACAUGCUACAUCAUUCUUGUCACCAAAGCCACACGCAGCUCUACAAGACCGGGCGAUCCUGUAAUCCCGGGCAAUGUGAUCAGUACUACCCAGUUAACGAGCACACUUCAGACCUGGGGGCUCGAAGGACGCUCACUCUAAUGCAGCAACCAAGAUCAGAAGUUAAUUGAACGUGGUAACUACUACAACUGCGAGUGGUACUUGCAAGAGAUUGCUUGUAGCAGCAGCAGCAGCAGCUGUGAGAGAUGCGAGUUACAAUCGCGGAUUAGAUUGUUCAAUCCAGUACCACGAUAUGGUCGACUCACUGAAGACGCUUCCUUCGAAAGUUCUUCGAGCACGCAUGCGUGCGACAAGCACGUAGGAAUUUGAUUGCAAUAUCCCGCAAUGCCGUGCAGUUUACAUUCCUCUGGGGACACUCCGAUCACAACCGCCAAAUGAGACUAACUGGUGACGACGCCAAGGCCGCUUCGGGUUGCAGACAACUAGGAAAAGUAGUAGUUCAUAACCGUGGCAGCGACAGCGGCAGUAGCAGAAGCAGCAGAAGCAGAUGCAGCUUCUUCUUUUUCUUCUUCUUCUUCCACAGCGCAGUAACGGAUGCCGUGAUUGCAGCAAUUAUCAACUCAAUGUCCCCCCCUCCAACUAACGAUUCCAACGACGCAAAGGAGGAAGCAGAGAAGAUGAUCACCCGUGAGUUCACAUCAACUCGCACCCUAGACCUGAUUAAAGCACCACAUUUGAAGCAAACGGAUACUACCGCGUGUCUGCUGGAGUAACAAACAAGGUGAAUCACACCAUGAUUCAGUUAAGAAUUAAGACGGAAGCAAGCAGAUAAGAAUCGUUGGAAGCGUCCAUUCCUAACGAGAUAGGGGGAGAGAGGGUGAGAGAGUGAUUGUAGAGCAGUAGGUUAGCCACCAUUAAACGCUUGGAACGAGCUUCACUGAACGUGGCAGGCCACCAACAAAACUGAUUCUCCCUAACUGUCACCGAUCAAGUGCAGUAUUAAAUGCGCGAUUUGUGCGAGCAUCUGCGGCCUCUCGCUUUCUUGAUGGUAUUGGGAAUUCGUGAAGUGCCGUACGUCCUCCGCCAAGGGCUUAAUUUAAUACGAUCCUGGGCGAAAGGCGGCUGCAGUACACUACCGCAUUCGGGGCCGCACCACCACCCCGCCUCCUCCUCCUCCAUGUUUCCAAGGCAGCAAGUGUCUCAUUUUUGAAUUCCUCGCUCGGUGCUUGCAUUCAAACUGCGCUGCUGGAGCUGGAGCUACCUGCCAGGAGACCCUGCAGCAGGCUAUGGCUUUGCCUUCACUACUAAGGAAAAGGGCCUCAUCAGCAGCAUAAGCAGCAACCAAACCGGGUGACCAGAAAGAAAACUUGCUCUUGUGCUCUCGCAGCCAUGGAUGGAGAUAAGUUUAAGUUACGGUGCGCUAAAUCACAAGUUACUUUCCUCUCUCUUUUCCCUGAGGCUUGCAGGGGGUACUGACAACGAGUUUGUGUUGUUCCUUUCCUUGCUUCUUUGCACUGCGCCGCUCAGGUGAUGCCAGCCUUUAAUACCAUUUUUCCGUGACAAAAAAAUAUAAAUAUACUCAUAUAUAACUACAAAAGGUAAAAGAAAUCCAACCUCGGAAUAGUGACAAAUUAUCAGAAAUUGAAAACUAAACUAGCAAAGCUUCUAAUACAAGGAGUGGGAAGAAGUGGAGGAGGUUUAGGAAAGAUCGCAUACGCAGUUUUUUUUCUUUAAUAAGAAACUGUAACAAUAAUCAUUAACGUAUUUAAGAAGAAGAAGCUCGCCUCUGUUUUGUUUUUUUGAGUUA